CGUACUCGCAGCGGCACGGCCACUGACGCCCUCGGGUUGCGCCCUUCUUUGUCCUUCGCCUCCAAGCGAGAGGCGAGUGUGGGCGUUCCGCGCGCGUGCCCGCGUGCCCGUGCGCGCCCCCCCGGCUCCGCCGCAGUCGGAUCCGGAUUCCGCGGACCCCCAGGCAGCGCACGGAGGCCGGUGGACCUGGAGGCCGUGAGGGCGGGGGCCGCUGGGCCGGGUCACGUGUCUUCUGGGCCUGCGCGGCCGACGGCGGAGGCCUGGGAACUACGGGAGGAUGAUGAAGGUUGCCCCUUUGUGCUGAAGACAAAUGGGAGAGCAGUCACAGAAGUUGCCAAGUCCACAGAUCCUGGAUACUCAAGCGAGCCUGCUCAUGUGACACAGUAAAGGCACUCUUGGAGCCAGGAACCUGUUCAUGGUGUGAAAGACCUGGCCACGGCCUCAUAGUGGCCUCAUAGAGGCUCAGGGUGGGGCAGAUCUCAGAUGUGCUACUCAUCUUGCACAGGCAACAGAAAAUGACCAUGUUACAGGUGAGGUGAUUGUUUCUUCUCCAUUAUUUUCCAGGGGA
rnacentral:lncRNA from 1 species